rnacentral:rRNA from 1 species
GAUGAACGCUGGCGGCGUGCCUAAUACAUGCAAGUCGAGCGAACAGACGAGGAGCUUGCUCCUCUGACGUUAGCGGCGGACGGGUGAGUAACACGUGGAUAACCUACCUAUAAGACUGGGAUAACUUCGGGAAACCGGAGCUAAUACCGGAUAAUAUAUUGAACCGCAUGGUUCAAUAGUGAAAGACGGUUUUGCUGGCACUUAUAGAUGGAUCCGCGCCGCAUUAGCUAGUUGGUAAGGUAACGGCUUACCAAGGCAACGAUGCGUAGCCGACCUGAGAGGGGGAUCGGCCACACUGGAACUGAGACACGGUCCAGACUCCUACGGGAGGCAGCAGUAGGGAAUCUUCCGCAAUGGGCGAAAGCCUUACGGAGCAACGCCGCGUGAGUGAUGAAGGUCUUCGGAUCGUAAAACUCUGUUAUUAGGGAAGAACAAAUGUGUAAGUAACUAUGCACGUCUUGACGGUACCUAAUCAGAAAGCCACGGCUAACUACGUG